UGCCAGCCGCCGCGGUAAUACGAAGGGUGCAAGCGUUGUUCGGAAUCACUGGGCGUAAAGCGCACGUAGGCGGAUUGGAAAGUUGGGGGUGAAAUCCCGGGGCUCAACCCCGGAAGUGCAUUGGAAACUGGCGAACUUGAGUACGGGAGAGGAAAGUGGAAUUCCGAGUGUAGGGGUGAAAUCCGUAGAUAUUCGGAGGAACACCAGUGGCGAAGGCGGCUUUCUGGACCGAUACUGACGCUGAGACGCGAAAGCGUGGGGAGCAAACAGGAUUAGAUA
rnacentral:rRNA from 1 species